rnacentral:rRNA from 1 species
UACGGAGGAUCCAAGCGUUAUCCGGAUUUAUUGGGUCUAAAGGGUGCGUAGGCGGCCUGUUAAGUCAGGGGUGAAAGACGGUAGCUCAACUAUCGCAGUGCCCUUGAUACUGAUGGGCUUGAAUGGACUAGAGGUAGGCGGAAUGAGACAAGUAGCGGUGAAAUGCAUAGAUAUGUCUCAGAACACCGAUUGCGAAGGCAGCUUACUAUGGUCUUAUUGACGCUGAGGCACGAAAGCGUUGGGGAUCAAACAGGA